UGCCUCAGUAACGGCGAGUGAAGCGGCAGCAGCUCAAAUUUGAAAUCUGACCCUUUCGGGGUCCGAGUUGUAAUUUGCAGAGGAUGCUUCGGGUUCGGCGCCGAUCUAAGUUCCUUGGAACAGGACAUCAUAGAGGGUGAGAAUCCCGUAUGUGACCGGCCACCACGCCCGUGUGAAGCUCCUUCGACGAGUCGAGUUGUUUGGGAAUGCAGCUCAAAAUGGGUGGUAAAUUUCAUCUAAAGCUAAAUACUGGCCAGAGACCGAUAGCGCACAAGUAGAGUGAUCGAAAGAUGAAAAGCACUUUGGAAAGAGAGUCAAACAGUACGUGAAAUUGUUGAAAGGGAAGCGCUUGCAACCAGACUUGCCCGCGGGUGAUCAACCGGUAUUCUCUUACCGGUGCACUCGCCCGCGGUCAGGCCAGCAUCGGUUCGGGCGGCUGGAUAAAGUCCACCGGAAUGUAGCUCCUCUCGGGGAGUGUUAUAGCCGGAGGUGCCAUGCAGCCCGCCCGGACCGAGGACCGCGC
rnacentral:rRNA from 1 species